GGGGGGGUUGAGCAAGGGGGAGCGGGGUAGGGAGCCUCCUCCCAAGCCCUGUGGCCAGGCCCCGGCGAGAGAACAGCCAGCCCCCGGGUGCCGCAGCGCUUCUCCCGGCGUUGUCCCGGAGGACUAAGAAAGUGGAGACGGUGCCCUCGUGCCGACCCCGCUGAUACUAUCCUCCAAAAUGAAACGGUGGGAGAACAAGGCCUGCCCGCGAGGUAAGGGCAGGGCCUGCUUCCUCCACCUACAAGGCUCUGGCGGUAAGCAGAGGGAACGAGCUGGCGGGGUGGGGGGGGGGGUCGGAACAAAAACGUCCAGAGCCGCCGUGGCCGCUCCUGUGAUGCCGCUUCAGCCGUGUGCGUUUGCCCCUUUGUUCCCGGCUCCAGGACGGACCGAGGAAGGACGGGACGCGGUACCCAGCUGGGCGGCUCCGAGGUCGGCUCCGCUCGGCUGGGGCGAACCUGCGGGCAGCCGUGCCCCGUAGGCGUGAUGCCCUCCAGUGGCAGCCGUGUGUGCUGGCGUGCUGAACCGAGGGGAGUGGGAGGAGUGCUCCGAAGUGCUUCGUGUCUCUGGAUGCAAAGAUAUUUCUGUUGCUGCCUUAGCAGUCUCAUAUGCCAUCCCUGGUGAUGACCACUGAGUCCUGCUCUGAAAAGCUGGCUGCUCCUGUGAUCUGCAGAUUCACUGAGCCAGCAACAUAGGGGCAGAGCUGUUUGUUACCCUUAGAGACUCAGUUGCACAGUGUGCAAGUACCUCAUAGCUGGCUCAGCAAAUCAGUCCUUGCAGCGCACCUGUGAGAUGGUUGUCUGGGUUAAUGUAACAUCAGAGAUGAGCAGCUCAUUCUGGAGCCAGAAUACAGGUCUUUCUCUCAUUGUAAAGAGCAUGGCGUUCAGUUUUGGCAGAUAAAGGUUAAAUAUGCUCCACUGUUUGGAAGCUGGACCUUAAAUCAAGGCGUACGUUUUUAAUUGAAGGGAGAAAAAGGUGUUAAAACAACCCAGUGGUGUGGUGCUUUCUGACCACUUUGUUCACUGUACACUUCAGCUGCUAUUCUCUGGUACAGCCUUUCAGUAUGUUAGCAUUGCUCACCUGGCCACCUUGUGCCCUAUGUAUUAACAGUGAUUGCAGGCUUAGUCACCUAGUUUGUAGGAGACACAAGUUGUGCUCAUUGCAAGGCACUGAAAUUGACCUGCCUCAUAGGAGGUUGGACAAGAUAGUCAUAACAGCACUUUUCUGUCUUGGAAGUCUGUGAAUUCUUGGUGGGCUACAAAUGAAGCUAUAUUUGCAUAGUUCAGUGGUGCUAAACUCGUUUAGUUUUCCAAGCUGCAAGUCAGUAUUCAAGUGAAGAAGGUACUAAUCACUGCUGUAAGAGCAUAUUCCACUCCUGUUUUCAUGGUUUCUUCAAAACUUAUUUUGGGGAAAUGCAUUUCUUCUCUUAAUUUCUCAGCUAUUUGGAGAAAAACAGACAAGCUUUUGGCACACAGUUCUACAUCAAAUCUAAAUUUUGCCAAGCUUUAUUUAUAAGAACCAUGUCUACUGUAGAGACAAUCUGUUCCUGACAAACCCCUAGAAUAGAAAAUUUCAACCAAUUAUUUUUGUAAUGAAUGUACAAUAAAUCUGUUGAAAAGCUA